rnacentral:lncRNA from 13 species
ACUAGGCAAGCACAGACAGUACAGCUUGGCUUGGCUAUGUAGUGUGAAAAGGGUGUCGCUGGGCCACUGUCGUGCAAUAGGCCAGUCGCAUGACAUUAGACCACUGCAUUACUCUUGCCUGAAAGCCUUAUUGAUGUGUUUUAUUUGAUCGGUUUUAUGAAGUCCCAUGUCUACAGACCAUUGGAGGCAAUAUCCUCAGUGCCAACCCAAAGUAUGAUCUCAAUAGUGUUCUAGCUGCAUUGGACUGCACGCUACAGGUCCAGUCUAAAGGUACUGUUGGGCAAAGCAUUGAUUCUCCUUGAUUUGAUCCUUUUCUUUCAGUUCGUGAUCAUUCAAUAUCACAUGACCUAAAUGGGAAGGACAUGGUUAAUCAACCAUGAGUGAUGCCUAGAUUCAUAGUAUGAAACUGUCUUUUUGUUGUAGAAAAUGGGACAAGGGAGAUCACUCUGAAUGAAGAUCUCUUCACUGGCAAGACAGAGCUUUGACCAGAUGAAGUCCUCCUGUCCAUUGACAUCCCUUACUCCAAACCAGUGAGGAAUAACUGCUUUACUCUCUCAUUCAAAUACCACUCUGGAUAUUGCUGAUCACCUUAGUUUAACUCAUAACUCCAACCUCUUUCUGUUGUGAAUGUGAUGUUAGCACAAAAGCAUUAUGCUUUAUAUAAAGCUUUGGGUACUGAGGAUUUGGUUAAUUGCUAAGUGAACAUGAAUAAUCUGUUGAGAGGAUUCCAGGUUGGAGUAAUGGUCUGUUGACUGUAUUGAGGAUGACUGUUGAUUAUUGACUGUAUUAAGUCUGUUGACUGUAUUAUGUCUGUUGACUGUGGCACUGUAUUUAUUUUUACUUUGAUCUCUGCAGUGGGAGUUUGUGGCCGCCUUCCGUCAGGCCCAGAGGAGGGAGUUUGCCUUCUCCAUAGUCAACGCUGGGAUGAAGGUGGUCUUCAGGGAGGGCACGAACAUAGUGGAAUCUCUCAACAUCUACUACGGAGGAGUGGGACCCACACUGGUCAAGGUUGGACGCACAUGCCAGAAGCUUGUUGGACGGAUGCUUGUGAGAAACUGAUGAGGUGCUUGAAGCCGGUCAUGGGAAAAUCAUCCCAAAUAUACAUGGCAACAAUGGGUAAUCAACAAACAUCCACCAGGCUAUAA